rnacentral:rRNA from 1 species
CUACGGGAGGCAGCAGUAAGGAAUAUUGGUCAAUGGGCGCAAGCCUGAACCAGCCAUGCCGCGUGCGGGAAGAAGGCGCUACGCGUCGUAAACCGCUUUUGUCUGGGGGUAACCGCAGGGACGUGUCCCUGCCUGCAAGUACCAGACGAAUAAGGGUCGGCUAACUCCGUGCCAGCAGCCGCGGUAAUACGGAGGACCCGAGCGUUAUCCGGAUUCAUUGGGUUUAAGGGGUGCGUAGGCGGCCCGGUCAGUCAGCGGUGAAAGGCCCGCGCUUCACGCGGGAGCUGCCGUUGAUACUGCUGGGCUAGAAUCUUAGCGAGGCGGGCGGAAUGCGCAGUGUAGCGGUGAAAUGCAUAGAUAUUGCGCAGAACGCCGAUUGGGGAGCCAGCUCGCCAGCUGAGUAUUGACGCUGAGGCACGAAAGCGUGGGGAUCAAACAGGAUUAGAUACCCUAGUAC